GUUCUGAUAGCUUAAAUAAAGCAUAACAUUGAAGCUGUUAAUAUGAAGAAAACUCUCUCAGAACA
rnacentral:tRNA from 1 species